GGGCCUAUCGUACAGUGGUAGUACGCCGCAUUCGCAUUGCGGAGACAGCAGUCCGAUUCUGCUUAGGUCCACCA
rnacentral:tRNA from 1 species